ACGCACACAUGCACGCACGGCACGAGGACAAGUCCUACGCACGUCUUGUCGCAUGUAGGUGGGCCGUUUGUGCGUCACCUCACGCACGGACAAGCGCUGCACACUAUGCGCAGAUAGAACCUACGCGCACUAGGCUUGCGCGCACAGCGCCCUUGCGUGCCUAGGCCCUUUGUGUGCACAGGCUAGCCCCUCAACACGCAGCAGGAGGCCUGUGCGCUUGCAAGCUAGCUUGCAACGCUCCCGUCGGGGCAUUGCCACCUCGGGUAGUGCAUCACUGUCGCCUUGGGUGUCGCACUACCACUGUUGGUGGAGGAGGCCUUCCUCCCUCGUUUUUUAUGCCGAUCAUCUUUUUCUCCUCUCUCUUCUCUGAAUUUUUCCACUUGGUGUGAAUCUGAUUGUUCUAAAAUUCUAUAAAUAGGCCUUCCCACCUGAUUCUUCCCCACACUUCC
rnacentral:lncRNA from 1 species